AAUCUCUCUCUCUCUCAAAAACACUUUGAGGGGGGUAUAUUGGGAGUCAUUGCUGGCGGCUGCUGAAGCUUCCGGCUCUCCUUAAAUUCCUUGAGGACGAAAUGUUGGUGUGUGAUAAAUUUGUCUAUCUAUGCCAAACAAGUCCCCUAUCUUUAAU
rnacentral:misc_RNA from 1 species